rnacentral:miRNA from 1 species
GCAGGUCAUCUUUAGCUAACU